ensembl:piRNA 21ur-1816 ncRNA
UGAUUCGAAGGUUGUCAGAUC